rnacentral:rRNA from 1 species
GUCUGUAUGAGAGUUAUAUAAAGUCUGGCCUGCCCAUUGGGAACUAAAAGGCCGCGGUAUUGUGACCGUGCGAAGGUAGCAUAAUCAUUAGUCUUUUAAUUGGAGGCUGGAAUGAAUGGCUGGACGAGAAGUAAGCUGUCUUUAUCUCAGAAGUUGAAUUUAACUUUUAAGUGAAAAGGCUUAAAUGAAUUAGAGGGACGAUAAGACCCUAUAAAGUUUAAACACUGAGUUAGUUAAGAGUGAUUUAGAGUAGUAAGGUUUAUUAUUAGUUAGGUGUUUGGUUGGGGCGACUAGAAUAUAAGUUAUAUAACUGUUUUUUAUUUGAAUCAGAGAUAUCUGUUCACAUGAUCCCUUUUUAGGAUUAAAGAGUAAAUUACUUUAGGGAUAACAGCGUAAUUUUUUUUGAGAGUUCUUAUCGACAAAAGAGUUUGCGACCUCGAUGUUGAAUUAAAAUUUCUUUGUGGCGUAGCAGUUACAAAAGAAGGUCUGUUCGACCUUUAAAUUUUUACAUGAUUUGAGUUCAGACCGGCGUGAGCCAGG